rnacentral:rRNA from 1 species
GACGAACGCUGGCGGCGUGCUUAACACAUGCAAGUCGAACGGGCCUGUCUUCUUUUUUGGGGGGUGGGUUGAGUGGCGAACGGGUGAGUAUCACGUGAGUAACCUGCCCUUCGGUCCUGGAUAACCGCUUGAAAGGGCGGCUAAUACGGGGUGGUCCGGUUGGUCCGCAUGGGCUGGUCGGGAUAGAUUCACUGUUUUUGGUGUUUCGGCGGGGGAUGGGCUCGCGGCCUAUCAGCUUGUUGGUGGGGUGAUGGCCUACCAAGGCGGUGACGGGUAGCCGGCCUGAGAGGGUGGGCGGCCACACUGGGACUGAGAUACGGCCCAGACUCCUCGGGAGGCAGCAGUGGGGGGUAUUGCACAAUGGGCGGAAGCCUGAUGCAGCGACGUCGCGUGAGGGAUGGAGGCCUUCGGGUUGUGAACCUCUGUUUCCGGUGGUGAAGGCCCUGUCCGUGUGG